GGGCCUAUAGCUCAGUUGGUCAGAGCGGCCGGCUCAUAACCGGCUGGUCCCUGGUUCAAGUCCAGGUGGGCCCA
rnacentral:tRNA from 1 species